rnacentral:rRNA from 1 species
CUACGGGAGGCAGCAGUGGGGAAUCUUGCACAAUGGAGGAAACUCUGAUGCAGCGAUGCCGCGUGAGUGAAGAAGGCCUUUGGGUUGUAAAGCUCUUUCGUCGGGGAAGAAAAUGACUGUACCCGAAUAAGAAGGUCCGGCUAACUUCGUGCCAGCAGCCGCGGUAAUACGAAGGGACCUAGCGUAGUUCGGAAUUACUGGGCUUAAAGAGUUCGUAGGUGGUUGAAAAAGUUAGUGGUGAAAUCCCAGAGCUUAACUCUGGAACUGCCAUUAAAACUUUUCAGCUAGAGUAUGAUAGAGGAAAGCAGAAUUUCUAGUGUAGAGGUGAAAUUCGUAGAUAUUAGAAAGAAUACCAAUUGCGAAGGCAGCUUUCUGGAUCAUUACUGACACUGAGGAACGAAAGCAUGGGUAGCGAAGAGGAUUAGAUACCCUCGUAGUCCAUGCCGUAAACGAUGUGUGUUAGACGUUGGAAAUUUAUUUUCAGUGUCGCAGGGAAACCGAUAAACACACCGCCUGGGGAGUACGACCGCAAGGUUAAAACUCAAAGGAAUUGACGGA